rnacentral:lncRNA from 1 species
GCAAAUACAAAUAGUGUAAGAUAUUAUUUUUAUUGGACUUAAAGAAGUGAAAUAUAAGUCUGGAGUGACUUGUGUUGAAAUCGGAAAGGAAACAGAAGAUUUAGAAUUUUCUGUAAGGAACGGGGCCGAUAUUUUAGCGGAAAAUUCACAGUAUCAGAAAAUUAUGAAAAUCUGAGAAUAUAUCGGGAUUAUUUUUAUGAGACUAGAUUUAAAGUUUCAUGUCAUUUUGAUACCCAGAAAGUGAAAAAUAAAAUCUAACUGCUAUCUGCUAGAGAUUUUUAGUCGGUAGGGCUUUCGGUGACCAAAAGUGGUCGAAACUAAAAGAUUAAGAUAUCUUUCUUUUGUUUAGCUUAAACC